rnacentral:rRNA from 1 species
AUUGAACGCUGGCGGCAGGCCUAACACAUGCAAGUCGAACGAGUGGCGGACGGGUGAGUAAUGUCUGGGAAACUGCCCGAUGGAGGGGGAUCACUACUGGAAACGGUCGCUAAUACCGCAUACCAUCGGAUGUUCCCAGAUGGGAUUAGCUAGUAGGUGGGGUGAAGGCUCACCUAGGCGACGAUCCCUAGCUGGUCUGAGAGGAUGACCAGCCACACUGGAAAUGAGAGAAGGUCCAGACUCCUACGGUAGGCAGCAGUGGGGAAUAUUGCACAAGGGGCGCAAGCCUGAUGCCGCCAUGCCGCGUGUAUGAAGAAGGCCUUCGGGUUGUAAAGUACUUUCAGCGGGGAGGCGUUACCCGCAGAAGAAGCACUGGCUAACUCCGUGCCAGAAGGCGCGGGAAUAC